rnacentral:rRNA from 1 species
UAGAUGCGAGAGUAGAGCAUAUCAAUAAGCGGAGGAAAAGAAACUAACAAGGAUUCCCUUAGUAACGGCGAGUGAAGCGGGAAGAGCUCAAAUUUGAAAUCUUCAAGGUUCUACCUUGACGAAUUGUAGUUUAUAGAAGUGUUUUCUGUUAGUGGAGUGGCAAAAGUUCUUUGGAAUAGGACAUCAUAGAGGGUGAGAAUCCCGUAUUUGGUCAUUCCUCCUAGCGUUGUGAUACACUUUCAACGAGUCGGAUUGUUUGGGAAUGCAGUCCAAAAUGGGUGGUAAAUUUCAUCUAAAGCUAAAUAUUGGCGAGAGACCGAUAGCGAACAAGUACCGUGAGGGAAAGAUGAAAAGAACUUUGAAAAGAGAGUUAAACAGUACGUGAAAUUGUCAAAAGGGAAGCGUUUGACACCAGUGUUGUUUUUCCGAAAAUCAAUUACGAAUGUUUUGUUUUUGAGGAGUUAUGACUUCAUCGGCUUGCUUCUCUCUUUACGAAACUUUCUUAAUGCACUUUUCGGUUAACAAGUCAACAUCAAUUUCUUUUGUUGUAAAGGGUAUGAGGAAGGUGGCUUUCUUUUCGGAGAAAGUGUUUAUAGCCUUGUGACCUCUGCAAUCGGAGAGAUUGAGGUCUGCAGCGUAGAUCCUUCGGGGUUAGAUACAGUUUGUGCUAAGUUAUAGCUUUUCAUAGACAACUUGUUGACUAUGUUAGUCUUGUAGCUUACUCGCUUAUGCUAUUUUACCUACGCUUAGGAUGUUGACGCGCGUGUGUGCGUG